rnacentral:rRNA from 1 species
UGCAAGUCGUACGAUAGUUUUAAACUCAAGUGGCGGACGGGUGAGUAACACGUAAGAAUUUGCCUUUAGGAGGGGGACAACAACUGGAAACGGUUGCUAAUACCCCAUAUGCUUUCGAGUAAAAUGGAUUUUUCCGCCUAAAGAGAAGCUUGCGGCUGAUUAGCUUGUUGGUGAGGUAAUGGCUCACCAAGGCGACGAUCAGUAUCUGGUUUGAGAGGACGAUCAGACACACUGGAACUGAGACACGGUCCAGACUCCUACGGGAGGCAGCAGUGGGGAAUUUUCCGCAAUGGGCGAAAGCCUGACGGAGCAAUCUCGCGUGAGGGAUGACUGCCUAUGGGUUGUAAACCUCUUUUUUCAGGGAGGAAUAAAUGACGUGUACCUGAAGAAUAAGCAUCGGCUAACUCCGUGCCAGCAGCCGCGGUAAGACGGAGGAUGCAAGUGUUAUCCGGAAUCACUGGGCGUAAAGCGUCUGUAGGUGGUUUAAUAAGUCAACUGUUAAAUCUUGAAGCUCAACUUCAAAAUCGCAGUCGAA